CACCGCGGUUAUACGAGAGACCCAAGUUGACAAACACCGGCGUAAAGAGUGGUUAAGUUAACACCCAUACUAAAGCCAAACAUCUUCAAGACUGUUAUACGCAACCGAAGACAGGAAGUUCAACCACGAAAGUGGCUUUAUCUAAUCUGAACCCACGAAAGCUAAGGAA
rnacentral:rRNA from 1 species